UACACACCGCCCGUCACACCAUGGGAGUGGGUUGUACCAGAAGGCGGUAGACUAACCGAAAGGAGGUCGCUGACCACGGUAUGAUUCAUGACUGGGGUG
rnacentral:rRNA from 1 species